GGCGAUUUCCGAAUGGGGAAACCCAGUGUGAUUCGUCACACUAUCAUUAACUGAAUCCAUAGGUUAAUGAGGCGAACCGGGGGAACUGAAACAUCUAAGUACCCCGAGGAAAAGAAAUCAACCGAGAUUCCCCCAGUAGCGGCGAGCGAACGGGGAGGAGCCCAGAGCCUGAAUCAGUGUGUGUGUUAGUGGAAGCGUCUGGAAAGGCGCGCGAUACAGGGUGACAGCCCCGUACACAAAAAUGCACAUGCUGUGAGCUCGAUGAGUAGGGCGGGACACGUGGUAUCCUGUCUGAAUAUGGGGGGACCAUCCUCCAAGGCUAAAUACUCCUGACUGACCGAUAGUGAACCAGUACCGUGAGGGAAAGGCGAAAAGAACCCCGGCGAGGGGAGUGAAAAAGAACCUGAAACCGUGUACGUACAAGCAGUGGGAGCCUCUUUAUGGGGUGACUGCGUACCUUUUGUAUAAUGGGUCAGCGACUUAUAUUCUGUAGCAAGGUUAACCGAAUAGGGGAGCCGAAGGGAAACCGAGUCUUAACUGGGCGUUAAGUUGCAGGGUAUAGACCCGAAACCCGGUGAUCUAGCCAUGGGCAGGUUGAAGGUUGGGUAACACUAACUGGAGGACCGAACCGACUAAUGUUGAAAAAUUAGCGGAUGACUUGUGGCUGGGGGUGAAAGGCCAAUCAAACCGGGAGAUAGCUGGUUCUCCCCGAAAGCUAUUUAGGUAGCGCCUCGUGAAUUCAUCUCCGGGGGUAGAGCACUGUUUCGGCAAGGGGGUCAUCCCGACUUACCAACCCGAUGCAAACUGCGAAUACCGGAGAAUGUUAUCACGGGAGACACACGGCGGGUGCUAACGUCCGUCGUGAAGAGGGAAACAACCCAGACCGCCAGCUAAGGUCCCAAAGUCAUGGUUAAGUGGGAAACGAUGUGGGAAGGCCCAGACAGCCAGGAUGUUGGCUUAGAAGCAGCCAUCAUUUAAAGAAAGCGUAAUAGCUCACUGGUCGAGUCGGCCUGCGCGGAAGAUGUAACGGGGCUAAACCAUGCACCGAAGCUGCGGCAGCGACACUAUGUGUUGUUGGGUAGGGGAGCGUUCUGUAAGCCUGUGAAGGUGUACUGUGAGGUAUGCUGGAGGUAUCAGAAGUGCGAAUGCUGACAUAAGUAACGAUAAAGCGGGUGAAAAGCCCGCUCGCCGGAAGACCAAGGGUUCCUGUCCAACGUUAAUCGGGGCAGGGUGAGUCGACCCCUAAGGCGAGGCCGAAAGGCGUAGUCGAUGGGAAACAGGUUAAUAUUCCUGUACUUGGUGUUACUGCGAAGGGGGGACGGAGAAGGCUAUGUUGGCCGGGCGACGGUUGUCCCGGUUUAAGCGUGUAGGCUGGUUUUCCAGGCAAAUCCGGAAAAUCAAGGCUGAGGCGUGAUGACGAGGCACUACGGUGCUGAAGCAACAAAUGCCCUGCUUCCAGGAAAAGCCUCUAAGCAUCAGGUAACAUCAAAUCGUACCCCAAACCGACACAGGUGGUCAGGUAGAGAAUACCAAGGCGCUUGAGAGAACUCGGGUGAAGGAACUAGGCAAAAUGGUGCCGUAACUUCGGGAGAAGGCACGCUGAUAUGUAGGUGAAGUCCCUCGCGGAUGGAGCUGAAAUCAGUCGAAGAUACCAGCUGGCUGCAACUGUUUAUUAAAAACACAGCACUGUGCAAACACGAAAGUGGACGUAUACGGUGUGACGCCUGCCCGGUGCCGGAAGGUUAAUUGAUGGGGUUAGCGGUAACGCGAAGCUCUUGAUCGAAGCCCCGGUAAACGGCGGCCGUAACUAUAACGGUCCUAAGGUAGCGAAAUUCCUUGUCGGGUAAGUUCCGACCUGCACGAAUGGCGUAAUGAUGGCCAGGCUGUCUCCACCCGAGACUCAGUGAAAUUGAACUCGCUGUGAAGAUGCAGUGUACCCGCGGCAAGACGGAAAGACCCCGUGAACCUUUACUAUAGCUUGACACUGAACAUUGAGCCUUGAUGUGUAGGAUAGGUGGGAGGCUUUGAAGUGUGGACGCCAGUCUGCAUGGAGCCGACCUUGAAAUACCACCCUUUAAUGUUUGAUGUUCUAACGUUGGCCCCUGAUCGGGGUUGCGGACAGUGUCUGGUGGGUAGUUUGACUGGGGCGGUCUCCUCCUAAAGAGUAACGGAGGAGCACGAAGGUUGGCUAAUCCUGGUCGGACAUCAGGAGGUUAGUGCAAUGGCAUAAGCCAGCUUGACUGCGAGCGUGACGGCGCGAGCAGGUGCGAAAGCAGGUCAUAGUGAUCCGGUGGUUCUGAAUGGAAGGGCCAUCGCUCAACGGAUAAAAGGUACUCCGGGGAUAACAGGCUGAUACCGCCCAAGAGUUCAUAUCGACGGCGGUGUUUGGCACCUCGAUGUCGGCUCAUCACAUCCUGGGGCUGAAGUAGGUCCCAAGGGUAUGGCUGUUCGCCAUUUAAAGUGGUACGCGAGCUGGGUUUAGAACGUCGUGAGACAGUUCGGUCCCUAUCUGCCGUGGGCGCUGGAGAACUGAGGGGGGCUGCUCCUAGUACGAGAGGACCGGAGUGGACGCAUCACUGGUGUUCGGGUUGUCAUGCCAAUGGCACUGCCCGGUAGCUAAAUGCGGAAGAGAUAAGUGCUGAAAGCAUCUAAGCACGAAACUUGCCCCGAGAUGAGUUCUCCCUGACUCC
rnacentral:rRNA from 1 species